rnacentral:rRNA from 1 species
UCAAGCGAAUAAGCGCACACGGUGGAUGCCUUGGCGGUCAGAGGCGAUGAAGGACGUGGCAGCCUGCGAAAAGUAUCGGGGAGCUGGCAACAAGCUUUGAUCCGGUAAUGUCCGAAUGGGGAAACCCACCCGCUUGCGGGUAUCCUGCAGUGAAUACAUAGCUGCUGGAAGCGAACCUGGUGAACUGAAAUAUCUAAGUAACCAGAGGAAAAGAAAUCAACCGAGAUUCCGUAAGUAGCGACGAGCGAACGCGGACUAGCCCUUAAGCUGAUUUGGUUCUAGGAAAACGCUCUGGAAAGAGCGGCCAUAGAAGGUGAUAGCCCUGUAUCUGAAAGGGCCAUUUCAGUGAAGACGAGUAGGGCGGGGCACGUGAAACCCUGUCUGAACAUGGGGGGACCAUCCUCCAAGGCUAAAUACUACUGACCGACCGAUAGUGAACCAGUACCGUGAGGGAAAGGCGAAAAGAACCCCGGAGAGGGGAGUGAAAUAGAUCCUGAAACCGUGUGCGUACAAGCAGUAGGAGCCUCGCAAGGGGUGACUGCGUACCUUUUGUAUAAUGGGUCAGCGACUUACUGUUCGUGGCAAGCUUAACCGUAUAGGGGAGGCGAAGGGAAACCGAGUCUGAUAAGGGCGCAUAGUCGCGGGCAGUAGACCCGAAACCGGGUGAUCUAGUCAUGGCCAGGGUGAAGGUGCCGUAACAGGUACUGGAGGCCCGAACCCACGUCUGUUGCAAAAGACGGGGAUGAGCUGUGAUUAGGAGUGAAAAGCUAAUCGAACCCGGAGAUAGCUGGUUCUCCUCGAAAGCUAUUUAGGUAGCGCCUCAUAUGUAUCCUCUCGGGGGUAGAGCACUGUUAUGGCUAGGGGGUCAUCGCGACUUACCAAACCAUUGCAAACUCCGAAUACCGAGACGGACUGUAUGGGAGACACACGGCGGGUGCUAACGUCCGUCGUGAAAAGGGAAACAACCCAGACCCACAGCUAAGGUCCCAAAUUUUGUGCUAAGUGGAAAACCAUGUGGAAAGGCACAGACAGCCAGGAGGUUGGCUUAGAAGCAGCCACCCUUUAAAGAAAGCGUAAUAGCUCACUGGUCGAGUCGGUCUGCGGGGAAGAUUUAACGGGGCUAAGCACAGAACCGAAGCUUGGGGUGUGCAUAUUUAUAUGUACGCGGUAGAGGAGCGUUCCGUAAGCCGUUGAAGGUGGAUUGAGAAGUCUGCUGGAGGUAUCGGAAGUGCGAAUGCUGACAUGAGUAACGAUAAUGCGGGUGAAAAACCCGCACGCCGAAAGCCCAAGGUUUCCUUGCGCAACGUUAAUCGGCGCAGGGUGAGUCGGCCCCUAAGGCGAGGACGAAAGUCGUAGUCGAUGGGAAGCAGGUUAAUAUUCCUGCACCUCGCGUAAGUGCGAUGGAGGGACGGAGAAGGUUAGGCGUACCGGGCGUUGGUUGUCCCGGGAAAGGCGGUAGGUUUGGAUCUUUGGCAAAUCCGGGAUCCUCUAAGACCGAGCACCGAGACGAGCCUUUAUGGCGAAGUCGCUGAUACCACGCUUCCAGGAAAAGCUCCUAAGCUUCAGCUUACGCAGACCGUACCGUAAACCGACACAGGUGGGUAGGAUGAGAAUUCUCAGGCGCUUGAGAGAACUCGGGUGAAGGAACUAGGCAACAUGGCACCGUAACUUCGGGAGAAGGUGCACCCUUUUUGGUGGCUCGUGCGAGCUAUAGCUGAAGAGGGUCGCAGUAACCAGGCCGCUGCGACUGUUUAUCAAAAACACAGCACUCUGCAAACACGAAAGUGGACGUAUAGGGUGUGACGCCUGCCCGGUGCUGGAAGGUUAAUUGAUGGGGUCAGCCGCAAGGCGAAGCUCUUGAUCGAAGCCCCAGUAAACGGCGGCCGUAACUAUAACGGUCCUAAGGUAGCGAAAUUCCUUGUCGGGUAAGUUCCGACCUGCACGAAUGGCGUAACGACAGCGGCGCUGUCUCCACCCGAGACUCAGUGAAAUUGAAAUCGCUGUGAAGAUGCAGCGUUCCCGUGGCAAGACGGAAAGACCCCGUGAACCUUUACUAUAGCUUUACACUGAACGUUGAGUUCGUCUGUGUAGGAUAGGUGGGAGGCUAUGAAACCAUGGCGCUAGCUGUGGUGGAGCCAUCCUUGAAAUACCACCCUGUCGUGCUUGACGUUCUAACCUGGGCCCAUUAUCUGGGUCGGGGACCGUGUAUGGUGGGUAGUUUGACUGGGGCGGUCUCCUCCUAAAGAGUAACGGAGGAGCUCGAAGGUACGCUCAGCGCGGUCGGACAUCGCGCACUGUGUGCAAAGGCAUAAGCGUGCUUGACUGCAAGAUCGACGGAUCAAGCAGGUAGGAAACUAGGACUUAGUGAUCCGGUGGUUCUGUAUGGAAGGGCCAUCGCUCAACGGAUAAAAGGUACUCCGGGGAUAACAGGCUGAUACCGCCCAAGAGUUCAUAUCGACGGCGGUGUUUGGCACCUCGAUGUCGGCUCAUCACAUCCUGGGGCUGUAGUCGGUCCCAAGGGUAUGGCUGUUCGCCAUUUAAAGUGGUACGCGAGCUGGGUUCAGAACGUCGUGAGACAGUUCGGUCCCUAUCUGCCAUGGGCGUUGGAGAUUUGAGAGGGGCUGCUCCUAGUACGAGAGGACCGGAGUGGACGAACCUCUGGUGUUCCGGUUGUCACGCCAGUGGCAUUGCCGGGUAGCUAUGUUCGGAAGCGAUAACCGCUGAAAGCAUCUAAGCGGGAAGCGCGCCUCAAGAUGAGAUCUCCCGGGCACAAGCCCCCUGAAGGAACCAUGUAGACUACGUGGUUGAUAGGUCAGGUGUGUAAGUACAGCAAUGUAUUGAGCUAACUGAUACUAAUGAUCCGAGAGGCUUGACCAU